CCGGCCGCCUGGGUCGCCCGGGUCGGGCGCUGACGCAGCCCCGGGGCGCGGGCCGCUCCGGGGCGGCCGCGGCCGGGC
rnacentral:tRNA from 1 species